rnacentral:lncRNA from 1 species
CGCUUCCGUUUCUGGUUUUCCUCCAGUGUUUGGGUUUCCUCGCAGCCGGCCAAGAUGAACCGAUUCUUCGGAAAAGCGAAACCCAAGGCUCCGCCACCUAGCUUGACGGACUGCAUUGGGACGGUGGGCAUUUGACUUUGCAUACCUCUGACACUCCGACCCGUCCAUCCCGAAUUCGUACUCCACCCCAUUCCUGGUUCGGGCCCAUUAAACCUGAGUCUUCUUCAUCCCCACCCCUUUCAUCCCUGUUUUCCAGGUCAUUCCUGACCCCAGAGACCAGACAGUCUAAUCUCAUCAUUCUUUCGCCCUUACUGCACUUAGCUCUUUCCGAUGCCCACUGUGCCCCACCCCUUCUUCCUCGCUUUGGUUCCCACAUUCCAACCUACGUACCCUAUGUCACUACACCCCACUUUGUCUAACCUGGCCUUUUAAAAACCCUUUUUCACUCUUCUCCCCUUACCCAUGUCAGGGUUAACAUAUCUGUACCUUAGUCCUGGGUCUGAGUAGCAUAGAAUUCUGAAUCUUGGCCCUUCCAGAUUAAACCUGAUCUCGGAAAUGGUUUUAGAUCUCAUCUUAGCCUGUGUUGAUUGGUUCAUUCCACGCACGUUCAUGCAGAGUCCCAAACUGACUAUUCUCCUACUUGGGAAAUCUCAGCCAGCGGAGAGAAUCCCAAAUCGUUUUCCUCAAGAGAGGGCUGCUAUAUCAGAAUCUAGGAGGUGGGAGAGAGUUUAUGAAAGCCCUCCAAUGGUUCGGGCUGGAAUUCCCCACCCUUAAGAAAAACCCUAUUUUCUGCCCUUUGCUAUAUUGUUCCUUUUUUCUUUUGCAUAUCCCUCUCUUUCUGCCCCUUUCCAUGUAAACAUAUUACAAUAAUUACCACUGCAUGUGAUGUUUUCUUCCAAGGUGGAUAGCAGGGCAGAAUCCAUUGACAAAAAGAUUUCCCGGCUGGAUGCUGAACUAGUGAAAUAUAAGGAUCAAAUCAAGAAGAUGAGAGAGGGUCCUGCUAAGGUAAGGCUGGUGACAACUGUUGUAGGAAGUACUGUGAAGGGACUGACUGGUGAAGGAUACAAGAAAAAUACACGAAAUCUGGUAAAGAGAAGCUACUUGUGAGGACCUGUUCUUCAGGGAACAGAAGCUACAGCCAUAUACAAGAGGGAGGCUGGGUUUUAAUGUGGUAGGUAGAAGAUGCUGAUGACAUGUAAUGGGAAUUGGCAUGCUCUGCUGAGAAGGUCUGACUCUGAAGAGGAGAGCUGGUUGUGCUCAGAAUCCGGGUGUUGUCUGGCUACUCAGGUUAGACUAGAUAUGGCGUGUAAGAUCAGUGUUCUGAUACUAACACUACUUAAUAGGCUAUGGGUGUAUAGGUAUCUUUUUUUUUCAUAACUUUAUAACUUUUUAACAGUAUGAACCAGGAUAUCACUCAGCUUCAAUUUUCUCAUCUGUUAAAUGAAGAUAAUAUAUACUAAUGUGUGAGGAUUAAAUAACAAGUCACCUACAUGGCAUUAUAUCUAGAAUAUCGUAGUAGUUGAUGAAUUUGCGUGAAGAACCAACAGAGGGAUCAAAGGUUGAUGUAGAGGUUCCCAGAUUCUGAAAGCGGGAGGCUGGUGGGCUGUUGUAAAUGGCUUCUAACAUGAGGACAUGAUAGCGGAUGAACGUGUUGUAUUUAAAUGGAAAGCAACUGGAUAUACACAGUGCGCUCUGUUGGGGCUGGAAGUGGAAGUACAAUGCCUAGGGAGAGGAAGAGGAAUUGAAGAUACAGAGCAUGGGUUGCAAAGGGCGCUAAGAUGUACCAGCUGGGCAUUAGAAUUAUCUGUGCUCGAAGCUUGAAGAGGAAGAGUAGAGUCAAGGAGCCUCCACAUCUGCCAUCUUGCAGAAGAAACAUGUAGGUGCAGGAGUGUGAGCAUAGGGGAGACUUCUUGUGCCAUCUGCGUUCCCUUCUUUUAAUUAAGUCUGUUUUUCUCCUCAGAACAUGGUCAAACAGAAAGCCCUGAGAGUUUUAAAGCAAAAGCGGAUGUAAGUCAUAUGCUUCAUCUCCCUCCUAAGAAAUCAGAAAGUGAAGAGGCCUUCCAUUCCUUCCGGCUUUCAUUUCUUCUCAGUAGUCUUGAUUUCAUUACAAAUGUGCAAAAGCUUCCAAUGUUCCGAGUUACUACCUAAGCUUCAGCAGCCACGUGGGAUCACUUUGGCUGGCAAGGUCGAGAUGGUUUGGGUCUCCUGUGGUUGAGUUAGGAUGAGUGUUUCGGUUUUGUUUGUAAAGUUAGGAGUGCUAAAUAUUCAUUCUCUCUCACCAGAAUAAAUGUGAAGGUUCACAAUUUAUUUUCAAUUACUAUGUCCCAGUGUUUGUGCGAAACCCCAGUUUAUCUGUGGUGCUCACCCAUGUGGUCUGCUCAGCCUAUGAGAUCAUCCAUGGAGUUGUAGACUCGAGGCAUAAUCAGCUUGUAGGAAACCAGGAAAAGUGUGAUGGCUUUGUUUCAAUUUUAAAAUGACUUUGUAACAGUCAGAUGCUGUCUUCCAUUUUUAAAAAAUACAUUAAAAUCACAUUGGAAAAAAAAACCUAAUAAUACCUAGAAUGGCCAGCAUGUAUUACAACUGUUGCCUUCUUGGUGGCAAUUGGUUUUAAAGUAUUUUGGUUUUCUUGUGGAAGGAAUUUGGCUUUGAUGGCCUGGACCUGUUAUCCUAGCAUUUGGGAGGUAGAGGACCCGGAACCUAUGAGCAUUGACUACAUAGAGAAAUCAAGACUAGCCUUGGCUACAUAAGACCCUGUCUCAAAUAAAUAAAUAAACCAAGCAGGGUGGCACACAACCUGUAGACCUAGCACUUGGUAUAUGGAGGCAAGAACAUCAGGGGUUCAAAGCUACCCUGGGCUAGUAAAUUCUAGAGUAACUUGGGCUACAUGAAUCCCUGCCUCAAAAAUAAAUAAAUAAAUGGAAUGUAGAUUUAUUGCAGAAACUUGGAACAUAUAUCAAACAGAGGUAAAGAAAAUUUAUCUAGAUUCUUAGGAAACUGAAAUUAUGUGUCUUUUAUAUAAGCUGUCGUCUUGCCCCUUCUUGUUUCUGCUUUUAGAGACAAGGUUCUCUGUGUACUCCACGCUGGCCUCAAGCUCUAGUCCCCUGGCUCAGUCCCCCAGUUGCUAGGAUUAUAACCUUGUGCCACGAUGCCUAACUGAAUAGAAUCAUUUGCCGAUUUCCUGGAUCAUGAAUUACCUAUUUUUCUUCUGCUAAUUAGAUGACUUCUGUGGUAUAUAACGAUCGUGGUGACAUAAAUCUUUGAUAUUAUAUAACUCGGUAGAAAACAUUAUUUUAAAGAGUAUUUCAAGUAUCAGACAUUAUAUUAAGUCUGAUGGAUAGCCUAAAUUAUGAAUAUAAUUUUGAGUCUGAAAAACAUUUAGCUAUACAUAUGAAGAAUCUUAAAAAAUAGUCUUAGCCUUUGCCCCAAGAGUUCCACCUCUGAGAAUUCAUCUUGGGAAAUAACU